rnacentral:rRNA from 1 species
AUUGAACGCUGGCGGCAGGCCUAACACAUGCAAGUCGAGCGAGCGGCGGACGGGUGAGUAAUGUAUGGGGACUGCCCGAUAGAGGGGGAUAACUACUGGAAACGGUGGCUAAUACCGCAUACUAUCGGAUAACCCAUAUGGGAUUAGGUAGUUGGUGAGGUAAAGGCUACACAAGCCGACGAUCUCUAGCUGGUCUGAGAGGAUGACCCGCCACACUGGGACUGAGACACGGCCCAGACUCCUACGGAGGCAGCAGUGGGGAAUAUUGCGCAAUGGGGUCAACCCUGACGCAGCCAUGCCGCGUGUAUGAAGAAGGCCUUCGGGUUGUAAAGUACUUUCAGUCGGGAUGCGUUACCGACAGAAGAAGCACCGGCUAACUCCGUGCCAGCAGCCGCGGUAAUUC